UACGAAGGGGGCUAGCGUUGUUCGGAAUUACUGGGCGUAAAGCGCACGUAGGCGGAUUGCUAAGUCAGGGGUGAAAUCCUGGAGCUCAACUCCAGAACUGCCUUUGAUACUGGAGAGCUUGAGUCCGGAAGAGGUGAGUGGAACUCCGAGUGUAGAGGUGAAAUUCGUAGAUAUUCGGAAGAACACCAGUGGCGAAGGCGGCUCACUGGUCCGGUACUGACGCUGAUGUGCGAAAGCGUGGGGAGCAAACAGG
rnacentral:rRNA from 1 species